GAUGAACGCUGGCGGCAUGCCUAACACAUGCAAGUUGAACGAAGAUUGUACUUUUCCGUAAGGUUAAGUUUAGACUGAGUAGCGGACGGGCGAGUAACGCGUAAGAAUCUACCCUUAGGAAAAGCAUAACAACUGGAAACGGUUCCUAAUACUUUAUAAGCUGAGAAGUGAAAGGUAUAUAAUCCGCCUAGGGAUGAGCUUGCGUCUGAUUAGCUAGUUGGUAAGGUAAAGGCUUACCAAGGUGUUUUAUCAGUAGUUGGUUUGAGAAGACGACCAGCCGCAUUGGGACUGAGAUACGGCCCAG
rnacentral:rRNA from 1 species